AAUAUAUAGUGGAGGUUCCAAGGG
rnacentral:sRNA from 1 species